ACGUAGCUGCCUUCUUUUUGGGCGUGAAGCAGUGUCAAACCAAAAUACCCAAUAAGUCUCGCAACGAGUGCAACCCUCGUGUUCAGUUGCCACUAUGAGUUUGGAACCCUGAACAGACCGCCGGUGUUAAGCCGGAGGAAGGAGAGGAUGAGGCCAGGUCAUCAU
rnacentral:ncRNA from 1 species